GACGAACGCUGGCGGCGUGCUUAACACAUGCAAGUCGAACGGAAAGGCCCUGCUUUUGUGGGGUGCUCGAGUGGCGAACGGGUGAGUAACACGUGAGUAACCUGCCCUUGACUUUGGGAUAACUUCAGGAAACUGGGGCUAAUACCGGAUAGGAGCUCCUGCUGCAUGGUGGGGGUUGGAAAGUUUCGGCGGUUGGGGAUGGACUCGCGGCUUAUCAGCUUGUUGGUGGGGUAGGGGCUUACCAAGGCUUUGACGGGUAGCCGGCCUGAGAGGGUGACCGGCCACAUUGGGACUGCGAUACGGCCCAGACUCCUACGGGAGGCAGCAGUGGGGAAUAUUGCCCAAUGGGCGGAAGCCUGAUGCAGCAACGCCGCGUGCGGGAUGACGGCCUUCGGGUUGUAAACCGCUUCCGCCUGUGACGAAGCGUGAGUGACGGUAAUGGGUAAAGAAGCACCGGCUAACUAUGUG
rnacentral:rRNA from 1 species